rnacentral:rRNA from 1 species
CCAACGUUAAUCGGGGCAGGGUGAGUCGACCCCUAAGGCGAGGCCGAAAGGCGUAGUCGAUGGGAAACGGGUUAAUAUUCCCGUACUUGGUGUUACUGCGAAGGGGGGACGGAGAAGGCUAUGUUGGCCGGGCGACGGUUGUCCCGGUUUAAGCGUGUAGGUGUGUGUUCCAGGUAAAUCCGGUUCACUUUAACACUGAGGCGUGAUGACGAGGCACUACGGUGCUGAAGCAACAAAUGCCCUGCUUCCAGGAAAAGCCUCUAAGCAUCAGGUAACAUCAAAUCGUACCCCAAACCGACACAGGUGGUCAGGUAGAGAAUACCAAGGCGCUUGAGAGAACUCGGGUGAAGGAACUAGGCAAAAUGGUGCCGUAACUUCGGGAGAAGGCACGCUGACAC